rnacentral:rRNA from 1 species
AUUGAACGCUGGCGGCAGGCCUAACACAUGCAAGUCGAGCGGAUGAAGGGAGCUUGCUCCUGGAUUCAGCGGCGGACGGGUGAGUAAUGCCUAGGAAUCUGCCUGGUAGUGGGGGAUAACGCCCGGAAACGGGCGCUAAUACCGCAUACGUCCUGAGGGAGAAAGUGGGGGAUCUUCGGACCUCACGCUAUCAGAUGAGCCUAGGUCGGAUUAGCUAGUUGGUGGGGUAAAGGCCUACCAAGGCGACGAUCCGUAACUGGUCUGAGAGGAUGAUCAGUCACACUGGAACUGAGGCACGGUCCAGACUCGUACGGGAGGCAGCAGUGGGGAAUAUUGGACAAUGGGCGAAAGCCUGAUCCAGCCAUGCCGCGUGUGUGAAGAAGGUCUUCGGAUUGUAAAGCACUUUAAGUUGGGAGGAAGGGCAGUAAGUUAAUACCUUGCUGUUUUGACGUUACCAACAGAAUAAGCACCGGCUAACUUCGUG